UUUCCAUAGAGCAGCUCUACUACCUCCUCGUCAACGGACACCGCAUGAGCUAUCCUCCCGACAGUCCUCGCAAUCUCUAGACGUCAUGCUUCGUUGCGGGGCAGCGGACCCGUCGCAGAGGCCGCAGUUUGCGGAUCUUGUGAGAGAUAUUUGCAGCAUUGUCGACGAAUUAUGCGCUAGUUGUUGAGGGUUCUGCUGGGGUUUGCGUUGGCAAUGGCAACGGAGAAGUGCAGUGCACAGAUGCAAGUAGCUGUAAAUAUUUCUAAACUGUUAAUUACUAUUAGUGCCGCUUGCAGACUUUAAUUAAAGGAAUUUAC